rnacentral:rRNA from 1 species
GACGAACGCUGGCGGCGUGCUUAACACAUGCAAGUCGAACGGAAAGGCCCCUUUGGGGGUACUCGAGUGGCGAACGGGUGAGUAACACGUGAGUAACCUGCCCUUGACUUCGGGAUAACUUCAGGAAACUGGGGCUAAUACCGGCUAGGAAUCCUUGCUGCAUGGUGGGGGUUGGAAAGCUUCGGCGGUUUUGGAUGGACUCGCGGCUUAUCAGCUUGUUGGUGGGGUAGUGGCUUACCAAGGCUUUGACGGGUAGCCGGCCUGAGAGGGCGACCGGCCACAUUGGGACUGAGAUACGGCCCAGACUCCUACGGGAGGCAGCAGUGGGGAAUAUUGCACAAUGGGCGUAAGCCUGAUGCAGCAACGCCGCGUGCGGGAUGACGGCCUUCGGGUUGUAAACCGCUUUCAGCAGGGGCGAAGCUUGUGGUGACGGUACCUGCAGAAGAAGCACCGGCUAACUACGUG